rnacentral:rRNA from 1 species
UUAUAUUCUGUAGCAAGGUUAACCGAAUAGGGGAGCCGAAGGGAAACCGAGUCUUAACUGGGCGUUAAGUUGCAGGGUAUAGACCCGAAACCCGGUGAUCUAGCCAUGGGCAGGUUGAAGGUUGGGUAACACUAACUGGAGGACCGAACCGACUAAUGUUGAAAAAUUAGCGGAUGACUUGUGGCUGGGGGUGAAAGGCCAAUCAAACCGGGAGAUAGCUGGUUCUCCCCGAAAGCUAUUUAGGUAGCGCCUCGUGAAUUCAUCUCCGGGGGUAGAGCACUGUUUCGGCAAGGGGGUCAUCCCGACUUACCAACCCGAUGCAAACUGCGAAUACCGGAGAAUGUUAUCACGGGAGACACACGGCGGGUGCUAACGUCCGUCGUGAAGAGGGAAACAACCCAGACCGCCAGCUAAGGUCCCAAAGUCAUGGUUAAGUGGGAAACGAUGUGGGAAGGCCCAGACAGCCAGGAUGUUGGCUUAGAAGCAGCCAUCAUUUAAAGAAAGCGUAAUAGCUCACUGGUCGAGUCGGCCUGCGCGGAAGAUGUAACGGGGCUAAACCAUGCAC